AUUGAACGCUGGCGGCAUGCCUAACACAUGCAAGUCGAACGCGAAAGAGGGGCAACCCUUGAGUAGAGUGGCGGACGGGUGAGUAAUACGUAGGAAUCUUCCUUAAAGUGGGGGAUAACCCGGGGAAACUCGGGCUAAUACCGCAUAAUUUCUGAGGAAAAAAGGAGGGGACCCUUCGGGGCCUUUCGCUUUAAGAUGAGCCUACGCCGGAUUAGCUAGUUGGUAGGGUAAAGGCCUACCAAGGCAACGAUCCGUAGCUGGUUUGAGAGAACGGCCAGCCACACUGGGACUGAGAUACGGCCAGACUCCGACGGGAGGCAGCAGUGGGGAAUAUUGGACAAUGGGGGAAACCCUGAUUCAGCAAUGCCGCGUGUAUGAUGAAGGCCUGCGGGUUGUAAAGUACUUUCGUUGGGAAAGAAAUACUCAAAGCUAAUAUCUUUGAGGGUUGACGUUACCCAAAGAAGAAGCACCGGCUAACUCUGUGCCAGCAGCCGCAGUAA
rnacentral:rRNA from 1 species